rnacentral:rRNA from 1 species
UACGGAGGAUGCAAGCGUUAUCCGGAUUUAUUGGGUUUAAAGGGUACGCAGGCGGAAGAUUAAGUCGGUGGUGAAAUUUUGCAGCUCAACUGUAAAAGUGCCAUUGAUACUGGUUUUCUUGAGUGUGGAUGAAGUAGGCGGAAUUUGUGGUGUAGCGGUGAAAUGCAUAGAUAUCACGAGGAACUCCGAUUGCGCAGGCAGCUUACUAAACCAUAACUGACGCUCAGGCACGAAGGCGUGGGGAUCAAACAGGAUUAGAUACCCCGGUA